rnacentral:lncRNA from 1 species
ACAGACAAGAUGUCGGCGGAUGGUAGCUUCGAGCCCUUGCGGAGAGGAGCAUCUCUGUGACAGAAGCUUGUCGACGGCGGCUUCUAGGAGCUAGUCGAAGGAGCGAGGUUGAGGCGGGCAGCGACCCGUCAGGUCGCUCACCUGGGCACCGGCCAGCUGCGAGACGUGACUUGGGGACCGCAGGGGAGUGGAGAGUGUGAGGUGCCAAAGACUAGUAAUGCCCCGUAUCCCCCUAGGAAGCCGGGAAGCCAAGCUCCGCGGGACCGCUUCAUGCCGCUGACUGGUGUAGAGCCCGCCAGAAUGAACAGGAAGAAAGGAGACAAGGGCUUUGAAAGCCCAAGGCCAUAUAAAUUAACCCAUCAGGUCGUCUGCAUCAACAACAUAAAUUUCCAGAGAAAAUCUGUUGUGGAGAAACCUCAAUUAUUUUUCCAAUGCUUAUGCAGCUGCAGUUAGUGCUGUGGACCCUGAUGCAGGAAAUGGAGAACUUUGCAUUAAGGUUCCAUCAGAGCUAUGGAAACACGUUGAUGAGUUAAAGGUCCUGAAGAUACACAUCAAUUUUUCUUUGGAUCAGCCCAAAGGAGGUCUU